ACUCCUGCGGGAGGCAGCAGUGGGGAAUUUUGGACAAUGGGCGAAAGCCUGAUCCAGCCAUGCCGCGUGCAGGAUGAAGGCCUUCGGGUUGUAAACUGCUUUUGUACGGAACGAAACGGCCUUUUCUAAUAAAGAGGGCUAAUGACGGUACCGUAAGAAUAAGCACCGGCUAACUACGUGCCAGCAGCCGCGGUAAUACGUAGGGUGCAAGCGUUAAUCGGAAUUACUGGGCGUAAAGCGUGCGCAGGCGGUUAUGUAAGACAGUUGUGAAAUCCCCGGGCUCAACCUGGGAACUGCAUCUGUGACUGCAUAGCUAGAGUACGGUAGAGGGGGAUGGAAUUCCGCGUGUAGCAGUGAAAUGCGUAGAUAUGCGGAGGAACACCGAUGGCGAAGGCAAUCCCCUGGACCUGUACUGACGCUCAUGCACGAAAGCGUGGGGAGCAAACAGGAUUAGAUACCCGAGUAGUCCCAUGAU
rnacentral:rRNA from 1 species